UUUUCAUUUUGGUUUAACUUAUAGAAGAAAACCUCUCCACAUUAAAAAAAAGAAAUAUCUUAAACCCUUAGUAAAAAUACUUGAAAUAGACAAUAAAACCAAAAGAUAAGUACCGCAAGGGAAAAAUGAAAUAAAAUUAACAUGUAAAUUUACCAUAAGAAAAAUAAAACCUUUUACCUCGUGUAUAAUGGAUUAACAAGAAUAGACGGAUUAACUUCCCUCUCCCGAAACUAGGCGAGCUAACCCUUUCUUUUCUUCAGGAAAUAUUACUUACUGUUGCAAUAGUAAAGAAAAAGUAAGGGUUAGUUGUGAUAUGCUUACCGCGCCUAGAGAUAGCUGGCUCCCAAAGAAAUUAGCCUGAGCUAAGCUCUCCAACUAAGACUAAACAAUUUUGACUUUCAAAAACAAAGAAGUAGAAAACUUAGAAAAGAGUAGUUAGGGCAACAAGGAUAAGCUUGUAGCCCAAUAAGGAAAAAUCCUAAUUUUUUAGUAAAAGCCAAUAAAAACCACUAAAUAAUUUAUAAUAAAAGAAGUAGGCUUAGAAGCAGCCAACUUAAAAGAAAACGUUAAAGCUCAUUUACCACAAUAAAAUUAAAAAAUUUUUGGGGCUAAACGCUUAAACUACAAUUUUAUAUUUGGGCAUUCUCCUGUGAGAAAAGAAAAUGUUAAUAUUAGUAAGAAUAAUUUUACCUGACCCCUCAAAACGAACUUAACCUCGGAAUAGGAAAAUACUAACUUGAACAAGCUUAUUUUUUAUUUCGUCUUCCAACUCAGGAAAAAACAACUAACAAAAAAAGAAAAGAAGGAACUCGGCAAUCUAAGUUUCGCCUGUUUACCAAAAACAUCGCCCUUUGAUCUUAAAAAAUAUAAAGGGUCCUGCCUGCCCAGUGACAAAAAGUUAAACGGCCGCGGUAUCUUGACCGUGCGAAGGUAGCAUAAUCACUUGUCUCCUAAAUAGAGACUGGAAUGAAUGGCAAGACGGAACUUAACUGUCUCAUUUUCUUAUAUCUCAAUUUCACCUUCCCGUGAAGAGGCGGGAAAGCAUUCGCUAGACGAGAAGACCCUGUCGAGCUUAAGCAAAACAUCAACUUUUUGACUUUUUUGUUUUAUUCUAAUUUUCUGCAAUUAAAUAAAACCUAAAAAACUUUAUUAAUGCUAGCUUUGGUUGGGGCAACCACGGAGAACAAAAAUCCUCCGCUUACAAUGAAUAUAAUUAAGACCUUACAAGUCUAAUAUUGUACUAACAAGUUAAUUGAUCCACUAUGGUGAUCAAAGGAAAAAGUUACCGCAGGGAUAACAGCGUUAUCUUUUCUGAGAGUCCAUAUUGACGAAAAGGUUUGCGACCUCGAUGUUGGAUCGGGACAUCCUGAAGGUGCAGAAGCUUUCAAGGGUUGGUCUGUUCGACCAUUAAAGUCCUACGUGAUCUGAGUUCAGACCGGCGAAAGCCAGGUCAGUUUCUAUCUACGAACUUUUCUUUCUUAGUACGAAAGGACCAGAAAGAAGACGCCCAUGCAAAUAUGUAAGCGCCUUAAAAUUAAAAACAUGCAACUAACACGAU
rnacentral:rRNA from 1 species